GUCUCUGUGGCGCAAUCGGUUAGCGCGUUCGGCUGUUAACUGAAAGAUUGGUGGUUCAAGCCCACCCAGGGACG
rnacentral:tRNA from 2 species